rnacentral:lncRNA from 1 species
AGUCUAGCAGCCAGAGCAUGAAGGCCGUGCCCAGGAAGCGCGGGAAGAGCACGAGGCACGAGGCCGUCUGGGAGCAGAGCCUCAGGGAGUGAAGCAGCAGGGAGCGCAGCAUGGUGGCGGCGCCCCCCAAAGCCCCCCUACCUUCCCCCACCACCCACCGCGGGGCAGCCUGGCGAGACAUCUGGGCUUCGGCUGUUCGGAGAGCUCAAUUUAUAGCCGAGGCAUCAAUUGGCGGGAGACUCCACCUCCGGCCGGGGCCCGCCCCCUUGCAACUUGAGCCCGAAGGGAUCACCCCGCGGCGCGGCCAGGGCCUUAGAAAUCGCCGGCCGAGGGCGAGCACCAGCGGCUGGAAGGCGGGGCGGCCCGGCCCGGGGGCCGGAGGGGCGGGGCUGGGCCCCGAAGCCCGCUCGCCGGGACGGGCGAUCAGGACCUCGGUGGCGGCGCGGGUCAGACAGCUGGACCAGGGACCCGGGAGUCCGCGGCGGAGGUCCUCCGGCUAGCGCAGGCACCAAGCUGGCCCCGAUCCCGGCGUCCCAGCCCCGACCCGCGCGCGCCCCUCGCCGCGCACCUGAGCGGAGAUCCCCGGCGGACAGCCGCGCCGCGCCGGAGCUCCGGUUCGCUUCCCGCGCGCCGCCGCCAACGCCGCCCCCGCCGCUGCUGCUCGUGCGGGGCCGCUGCCCAGGUGCCGCCGGAGCCUGGGUCGGCGGCCGCCGCUUCGCUGGCCCCGGCUCCUGCCCCGCCGGGGACGCUGGCCCGCAAGGAGGCAACUUUGGGCCCCCGCCGCUUGCCGCGUUCGCCCGCGGGCGCCGCUCGCCUCCCGGAGCCCGCCCGCCUCCCGCGCGCGCUCACACUCGCGCCUCGCACACAGCCGCCCCCCGCACCGCCCCGCCACGCACACCGCGCUCGGCGCCCCCCGCCGUCGCCCGAGGCUGCCGCGCGCCGCGCGGGUCACGCCCGCCCCGUCCCAUCGCGCCCCGGCUCUGCGCCGCAGCUCUCGGGUCAGCGGCCUCCGGGUCCCGGCGGGGAGGUGCGGAGGGCAGGGCUAGCGGGAGGGUUGGCGACCGGCGCCAGAAACGCGGAGGCCCGGGGAAGGCAGCGCCGUCCUUGCGCCCUAGCCGAGCCGGGAGCGCUCUGGGCGCUGGGCGCGGCGGGCGCGGGGCGGCGGGCGCGGGGCGGCGGCGGCCCCGGGCGGCUCUCCCACUAGGGGUAGCUGUUGCCUGAAUGCCGGAGCGCUCCCCUCUCGCCGCUCGCCUCGGCCGGCGCAGCCCCGGCCGCCGGGCGCACCCGUCCCGUGCGUCCCCGGACGUCGCUCUCUGCCCCGGGAACGUCGGGACUGGAGCGCCCGCGCUGAGCCACCUUCACCGACCCAGAGCGCUGCGGCUCGACUCACCACGGAGGCGCUGGGACGCGGGGAAGUGCGUACUCUCAACGGGGAAUGUGUGUGGAGGCUUUUAGGGGUGCGGGGUAACUCCCCAACUCCAUGGGGGCCCUGGUCGGCUCUGCCGCCGCGUCCGAGAUCUGAUGACUCGCUGCGCGCGGCGCGGGGUCGGCGACUUGGGGCGGCGGGGCGCAGAGUACCGUGACCUGGGGGGUCCCCGAAGCUGGGAGCCAGGUCGCCUCGCCUCGGGCCUCCUUGACCCCUGGGGCGAGGCCUGAACCGGGUCGAGAGCGAUCUUGAUGCCGGGGGAGUCCAGCCCGCCUGGGACGCUCUCGCGGUCGUGGGGACUCGUCUGGGGCGGCGGUGGCUGAGCCCGAGUCCGGCGCCGCCACCGCCGGCGUCCCGUGCGCUCG